rnacentral:tRNA from 1 species
GCGGAAGUAGUUCAGCUGGCAGAACGUCUCCUUGCCAAGGAGAAGGUCGAGGGUUCGAAUCCCUUCUUCCGCUCCA